UACGAAGGGGGCUAGCGUUGUUCGGAAUUACUGGGCGUAAAGCGCACGUAGGCGGCUUCUUAAGUCGGGGGUGAAAUCCUGGAGCUCAACUCCAGAACUGCCUUCGAUACUGGCGAUCUUGAGUCCGGAAGAGGUGAGUGGAACUCCUAGUGUAGAGGUGGAAUUCGUAGAUAUUAGGAAGAACACCAGUGGCGAAGGCGGCUCACGUGGCCCGAUACUGACGCUGAGGCACGGAAAGCGUGGGGAGCAAACAGGGAUU
rnacentral:rRNA from 1 species